UGGCCAAUAAUUGUUAUUGUAUGUAACAGGAAAAGUAUUUAUCUCUGUAGAGAGAGGGCGAGUAAAUGGGGUUUAAAAUUCACUAAAUUCACUUGACACAAACUAUGCCAUUCAUUUCCUUGUAUUAAAUUGGUCGAAUCAAUGAUGGGUUAGUUGUAUUUUACGUCCGCUUCCACCGAGGUGAUAUCGCAGACAAGGUCGAAUCAAGUAGGCCCAUGCUUUAUGUCCUAGAAUCAAGUAGGACGGGUAGUCUUCUUCCGUUUCCGCCCUUUUCCUGAACACUGUCUCAUUCUAUUGCCAUCUGUGUAUGUUGUGUUAUAUUAAUUCUGCAUAAACCUAGAGUUGUUGUUAGUGUUUGUCGGAUAGAUCCUUUAUACUUACUGGCGCUAGUUUCCAUAUUAGAUGCCAUAGCAAAUCAAAGAUCAUAUAAUAAAAUAAGUCAAAAAACCCAAAUAUGGGAAAAAAAAGAGCUGAAGAAAUGGUGAUUUGAGCACCUAUGAUUUCUCAUAGUUGUUUUUUGAGGAAAGAUCAAGACAGUUGAAAAUGGCUAUUCAUAUUAUGGAAACUUUUUCUCACAGAGCUUGAUAAUCAGGUAAAAUGCUGGAACACCCUUGAAAGAGUAUUUGGUGUAUGAUAACAACAAGAGAACCCAAGCAUCAAUUUAUUUUAUACUUCUGGGAAAGAAUGCAUUUGACCCAAUUUUUAAAUAUUUAUUUUUUGUUAUUAAUGUUAAAUUUUCUUCCAAAACACAAUUAGGUUUUAAUUCUCUUCAAAUAUGUAUGUAUAAUAUAGCAAGUAAACUGACAUAUAAAUCACUUAGAAUUUGGUCGGAAAUCAUAAAGUAUUUAAUAGGCAUUACUAGAAACCAAAUGUAGAUCAAAUACACCCAGAAUUACAAAAAACCUUGACCUACAUUAAGGUGACUUUCCCUUGCUUAUGAAAUGAAAUACGUUUUAAUAUCCUGCUUUUCUGUGUUUUUAGAGUGAUUCUACCCUACCCUUAUAUCAAAUAUUUCAACUGUCAAGGGUUCUUUAAAGGGUACCCAGGGGGGCCGAAUGGUUAACACGCACACAUUUGAUCAGAAGGUCUGUCAUUGAUUCAAAUAAUUCAAUUUUCAAGGGUUCUUCAAAGUGUACGCAGUUGGGUUGGUUUCAAUUCUGGGGGGUGGGGGUGGAUGGCCGAUUGGUUAGCACGUGCAUGCUGUAUCAUACGGCCUCCUGUCAUUGAGUCAACUGGCAUGGUUUCGAAUCCCCGGUUGUAGACAAGGAGUAGGGUCGCCUGUCCAAUCUUGUGGGUUUUCUCCGGGACCUCCGGUUUCCUCCCACUGCUAAAGACCCCUACGCGCUAGCGAAUUAUUGAAAUAAAAUUAAACCAUAUGUUAAUCCCAAAAUGAUCUAGUUUGUGUCGAGUAGAUGUUAAACCCCAUUUCUCUCUGUCUCUCUCUCUUUUGAUUCUGGGCUUGUACCCAAUUAUCCCUUGCCAUAUCCAACACUGAAAAGUGGGAACUAUGCCGGAAAAUCCAGUUGAAAUUUCGCGGCCAACGCCUUAUGCUCACUGAACCACUGUGGCUUAUGACUUGUGAUUGUAUAUAAAUCUUUUGUACAUAUGAUAUUUUUUUAUUUCAAUCCUGUAAUCUUGAUGCUUUGCUUCUUUUAUUUAUAAAAUAUUCAUUUUGUUUGGGUUUUUUUUAAUGAGGAAAAGGCUCUACAUCAUUUUAUUACUCCUGCAAAAUAGAGCAAUUUUCUUUUGUUAGUUUUCUGUGUAUGCUAGUUAUUUCUAGAUGCCUCACAAAUCACUUGUAGUGUGAUUUUGUAGCAUUUUUCAGUUUUUGAAAUUGUUUCAAUUUAGUGCAUAAUUAAUCUUAUUAGUGCUUAGUUUGGAUGUUAUUAAAUUUAGAUAUAUUUGAAUUAUAUAUUUUGGGGUAUGGGGUAGGGAUACUGUGUACAUAUCUUUAUAUUCUCAGUUCUUGUUUUGGGGUAAAGAACAAUUUAAAUAGCUAUUUUAUAUUUUGUGAUGGGUAAAG